rnacentral:rRNA from 1 species
UACGUAGGGCGCAAGCGUUGUCCGGAAUCAUUGGGCGUAAAGAGCUCGUAGGCGGCCUGUUGCGUCCGCUGUGAAAUCCCGGGGCUUAACCCCGGGCGUGCAGUGGAUACGGGCUGGCUGGAGGCAGGCAGGGGAGAACGGAACAGACGGUGGAGCGGUGAAAUGCGUAGAUAUCGUCUGGAACGCCAAAGGUGAAAACAGCUCGCUGGGGUUGUGCUGACGCUGAGACACGAAAGCCAGGGGAGCGAACGGG